GACGAACGCUGGCGGCGUGCUUAACACAUGCAAGUCGAACGGAAAGGCCCUGCUUGCAGGGUGCUCGAGUGGCGAACGGGUGAGUAACACGUGGGUGAUCUGCCCCUUACUUUGGGAUAAGCCUGGGAAACUGGGUCUAAUACUGGAUAGGACCAUGCUGUAGGUGGUGUGGUGGAAAGAUUAGUUUCGGUAAGGGAUGAGCUCGCGGCCUAUCAGCUUGUUGGUGGGGUAAUGGCCUACCAAGGCGUCGACGGGUAGCCGGCCUGAGAGGGUGGACGGCGACAUUGGGACUGAGAUACGGCCCAGACUCCUACGGGAGGCAGCAGAGGGGAAUAUUGCACAAUGGGCGCAAGCCUGAUGCAGCGACGCCGCGUGGGGGAUGACGGCCUUCGGGUUGUAAACUCCUUUCAGCCAUGACGAAGCCCUUGUGGUGACGGUAGUGGUAGAAGAAGCACCGGCUAACUACGUG
rnacentral:rRNA from 1 species